AAUGAUACUUCCCAUUUAGGGCCAGCGAAAAGGCAAGUAGCUGGGAAAGCAUCGCUCCGGCUGGGAUAGGCCGGAGGGAGCUUUC
rnacentral:sRNA from 1 species